rnacentral:rRNA from 1 species
GACAGAGGAUGCAAGCGUUGUCCGGAAUUAUUGGGCGUAAAAAGUCUGUAGGCGGUUCUUUAAGUCUAAAGUUAAAAACCUGAGCUCAACUUAGCGUGUGCUUUGGAUACUGAAGAACUAGAGUGCGUUAGGGGUUAUUGGAAUUCCCGGUGUAGUGGUGAAAUACGUAGAUAUCGGGAGGAACUCAAGAGGCGAAAGCGAAUAACUGGGGCGUAACUGACGCUGAGAGACGAAAGCACGGGUAGCAAAAAGG